rnacentral:lncRNA from 1 species
CUUGCAGGCUGUAAUUAAUAUAUUACACAAUAGUACAUUGUUACAGUAUUAGUGUUACAGAACAUGAAAACAACCAUUUGCUUCAGUGGAAAAGCUACUCACCGUUGGGAAUUUAUCACUAUGUGGAGGAAAUAUCUAGUGAUUUGACUCAAUGUAAACCUUUCCACUGACUGAUUUGAUGAUCUGCAGACAGAGCUUUAAUGAAUCACUGUUAAAUCUACUUAGCUGCCUCACGGAGGAAGGAAAAGAACUGUCUUUAAAUAAACAAAAUGAAAACCAGGGAAUAUGCACUAAGGUUCCCUGUGUUCUAAUCUGUGCUUUAACUGAGGGGCAAAUAAGAAACACUGCUGUGGCCAGUGAGGGUUGCCCUGCCUGCCCGCCCCAGGGGAUGAUGUGAGGAUGCUCCCCUCGGCCCCUCUGACCAAGGAGCUGUUUUGCCCUGGGUGAGGAGGCGAUCUGCGCAGACCUCAACAGGAGGCAAGGCUUUCUCAGUCUCAGCAUUUGCAGCUCAGUGCCACUCUGUGUUUCUGCAUGAGCCUCUGGGAGAAGAAGCCAGGGAGAAGUUGAAGAAGAGGUUAAUGUUACAAGCCACAGGCAUCUGAUGGGAGGAUGCUGGUGCUGAAAGAAAUAGGAGAACUUAUUAAUUUAUCUUAAAUGGGCAGGUUAAUGGAUUGAUGGACUCAUGGAUGAACGACUCAUGGAUGCAUGAGUGAUGGAUAGGUGGAUAGGUGCUCAAAUGGAUGGACGCAUGCAUAGAUGUGUGCAUGAAUGCUUAGAUCUGUGCAUAUAUGAAUGUAUAUAUGUAGCUUGGGUGGAUGCAUGGGUGGGGGAACAAAUAGAUGGACAAUGGAUGGAUGGAGAGAUGGAUGUGUGCAUGAAUGCUUAGAUCUGUGUAUAUAGGGAUGUAUAUAUUUGUGCUUGGGUGAAUGCGUGCGUGGGUGAAUGAAUAGAUGAACAACAGAUGGAUGGAGAGAAGGAUGAUGAAUGGAUGUGUAUAUGAAUACUUAACUCUGUAUAUAUGUAUGCUUAGAUCAGCAUAUAUGUAUAUUUGUUUGCUUGGAUAGAUGCACAUGUGGACGGAUGUGUGCACAAAUGCUAAGAUCUGUGCAUAUAUGUGUGCUUGGAUGGAUGCAUGGGUGGGUGGAUGAAUAGAUGGACAAUGGAUGGAUGGAGAGAAGGAUGAUGGAUGGAUGGAUGUGUGCAUACGUGGUUAGAUCUGUGUAUACGUCUAUGCUUGGAUGGAUGCAUAGGUGGGUGGAUGAAAAGAUGGACAAUGGAUGGAUAGAAGGAUGAUGGAUGGAUGUGUGCAUAAAUGCUUAGAUCUGUAUAUAUGUCUAUGCUUGGAUUGAUGCAUGGGUGGGUGGAUGAAUAGAUGGACAAUGGAUGGAUAGAAGGAUGAUGGAUGGAUGUGUGCAUGAAUGCUUAGAUCUGUGUAUAUGUCUAUGCUUGGAUUGAUGCAUGGGUGGGUGGAUGAAAAGAUGGACAAUGGAUGGAUGGAGAGAAGAAUGAUGGGUGGAUGGAUGUGUGCAUGAGUGCUUAGAUCUGUGUAUAUAUGUGUGCUUGGAUGGAUGCAUGGGUGGGUGGAUGAACAGAUGGACAAUGGAUGGAUGGAGAGAAGGAUGAUGGAUGGAUGGAUGUGUGCAUACGUGGUUAGAUCUGUGUAUAUGUCUAUGCUUGGAUGGAUGCAUAGGUGGGUGGAUGAAUAGAUGGACAAUGGAUGGAGAGAAGGAUGAUGGAUGGAUAUGUGUAUACGUGGUUAGAUCUGUGUAUAUGUCUAUGCUUGGAUGGAUGCAUGGGUGGGUGGAUGAAUAGAUGGACAAUGGAUGGAUAGAAGGAUGAUGGAUGGAUGGAUGUGUGCAUACGUGGUUAGAUCUGUGUAUAUGUCUAUGCUUGGAUGGAUGCAUAGGUGGGUGGAUGAAAAGAUGGACAAUGGAUGGAUGGAGAGAAAGAUGAUGGAUGAAUGGAUGUGUGUAUACGUGGUUAGAUCUGUGUAUAUGUCUAUGCUUGGAUUGAUGUGUGGGUGGGUGGAUGAAUAGAUGGACAAUGGACAGAUGGAGAGAAGGAUGAUGGAUGGAUGUAUGCAUGAAUGCUUAGAUCUGGGUAUAUAUGGAUGUACGUGUGUGCUUGGACAGAUGCACGGGUGGGUGGGUGAGCAGAUGGACAAUGGAUGGAGGAAUAGGAGGAUGAUGGAUGGAUAGAUGUGUGCAUGAGUGCUUAGACCUAUGUAUAUAUGUAUGUAUAUAUGCGUAUGCUUGGAUAGAUGCAUGGAGGCAUACAAAUCUGGGUGGAUGAAUUAUUACAUGAUGAUGCAGGUUUGGGUCAGGUAAAUGUCAAUACAUUCAGUCACAGAAGUCAGCAGGCAGGCAGACACACACCUGUCGAGCACUUAUUUUAUGACUGGCACCAUUUCUGAUGUUAGGAGCACAAGGCUCCUACCUGUAUGAGGCUUCCCUGCUAGGGGAUGGGAGUCACUGCUGGUGGUAAAGGGUCAGGAAAGCCUCCAGGGAGGCGGCUUCUGACCUGAGCCUGCUUGAGAAGGCAGCAGCCUUGAACAGGUAAGCAGAGCGCCCCAGCAGAAGGAAGAACUGCGGUCGAAGCUGCCGGUAAUGGGGUUAGACGUCAGGAAGGCCUGCAGGCUGCAGCACUGUGCACAGGGCCAGCCCCUCCAGGUUGGCUCUCAACUCCUCCACUUCACCGGUCCUGGGCUCACCAGUGUGGACACAACACAGGCCCCUGAUCUCUGGCUUCUGGUUGGGUUCAGCUGAUGGCGAGCUCUGGCUGGGGCUUGGAGGGUGGAUGGAGAGGUCAGGCCCUCAGUCCCUGGGAAGUUGCCUCUGGCUGGCCGAAGUUACCUCUCCCUUGCUUCAGGUCACGGCUCUGCCUGGGGCAGCCUCCCACAUGUGACAGCCUUCUUUCAGGUCCUGGUGGCCACUCCAGACACCCCUUUCAGGCAGGGUGGUAACAGUGCCACUGUGACUAGCCCCAGGUCACCACACCAUCCCUUAGGCUUCACCGGGACCCUGUCCAGACCUUUAUAAUGGUCCUUUUCCAAAUGCCCCUCCCCCCAGCAAUUACCCUCAUUCUAGAUGCGUUUUCUGUUGGAAACUUCCAGGUAGUUGGCACAGGAGUGGCCCAGAAGGCAGACCCUCCAGGUGGAGUCAGGGAUGAGGUUGGUCACAUAUUGGAGGAGAUGGAAUAACUUCCUUGCCAGGGGGAAAUGGGCCGUGGGUACACAGGGGCACGGCAGCCUCUCCGUGACUCAGAUCAUUGCUGGUGUCAGUGUGGAAUGGCGUGCAGGGGAGGCUGAGGUGCUGGGAGAGAAGCCGGAGUUGCUAUGGCAAUGGUUGUGAUUGAAGAGAGUUUGGGUCUUCUGGCUUCUCCUUACCCACACAGGAAAAGGAAAACUUGCAAUGGCCGGACCUGCAGUCAAGAACCAGAGGGGCAGCUCUGAAGGAGCCCGUGUCACCUGCAGUCCCAGAGAAGGUGCCGCAAAGGCCAGCCCUUGGCUCUGCUUGUUUGGGCAGAUGGUGAACACUCCACAUGUGGCCAGGUCUCAGGCUGCGUGACAGAGUUCUCAAUAGGAUGAUGUCACCCCAGGGGACUUUUGACAGUAUCUGGAGGUAUUUGGGCUGUCGCAGCUGGAGGGAUACGGCUGGUGUCUGGUGGGCAGAGAUGGAGGACGGUGCUAAGUACCCUACAGUGCACAGGACGGCCCCACAGCAAAGAAUGACCUGGCCCAGUGGUCCCGGUGUGGGGUGGAGAACCUCCAGGGACAAAUCGAUGUGUCCUCCCUGGCCUCCGCACCUCUGCUGGCACUGCUGUUCUGGGAUUUGCAGAACAGCUCACUCACCAGUCACUGUGGUGUUCACAUCCCAUCAUCUCCAACGGGGACACGUUUUAUAGCAAAGGGAGUGCUGCAACCCCAAACAGAGGAGAUCACCAAGUGAUCAUGAGACCUGAACCAUAAACUUGGAUACGUGCAACAGAAUUCCAUUGUAGAGUGGAAGUUUUCACAUGGGAGAGCUGGCCUGAUUCACCUGGAAGACACAUAGCUCAGACUUAAGAGAAGCUGUCCCGCUCCUUCACUAGCCCUCCCUCCACCACACCUGUGGCCACAGGGGUUUCUCUGGCCAGCAAAUGGAGAAGGGGAGGGCAGGCCCAGUUAGCAGAGGGUCUGGCUGUAGGCUACACAAGUGAGAAGUGGGGGCCAAGGUACUGCCACCCAGCAGGUGACCCUCAAAGACAAUGCAGAAGGAAAAUCCUCCUGGGGGCAGAAUGCCACGAAAUGCUUCACACGAAAGUAGGGUUGGCUGAAAGUACAAUUGCGUGUUUACAGACUCACGGGCAAUGGCAAAAGCGUUAGCCGGUGGGGCCAGUGCUUCCCACUGAGAAGCACCCAAGUUGCUGUGAACACAGUGGCACUCGCCAGCACUGGCAGGUGCAGGCCAGAGACAGGAGACAGCACAAACAGGAAACUGGUGACAAGGUGGCUGUCUUAGGCAGGGCUCUCCAGAGAGGCAGGAUCAAUAGAAGACAUCUGUCUAUCUAUCAUCUAAUCUAUCUAUCUAUCAUCUAUCAUCUGUCUAUCUAUCAUCUA